UGAGGGUGGGGACUGAGGCUCUGAGGAAGAGCUCCCCAUCAGUACCACAGACAAAUACACACAGCCAAAGCCUGAGGUCCAUUUGCAAGGCGUGUUUUUGUUUAUUUGCACGUGGUCUGGUUUUGCUGGGAAGCAGGGGUUACGAUCACUCACCUCUCCCAACCUGGCCCGUCCGCCCCUCCCUGGAGGGGUCAACGUCCGGAGGCUGGAGGCCAAGGACUACCCGGGCAGGCGGUGACCUCGGAGGCAGAACCACGGCCUCGAGUCGGCCACUAACGGCGGCAGAUUGACGCGGUUGGACUCCGCCAUUCGUGCAGCGAGGAGGGGCGUUACCGUGACAGCGUCCUUCAAGAUGAAUAGGAAAAGGGUGGCUAGGGUGACUGUCUUCCCCACCCGCCUCUUCUCUCUCCAGUCUCCGCUGGGCCCCCUGCGUCCAUCCCACGGCCGAAGUUACUAAGAGUCUGGCGGAGUAGGGGAGAGCCACUGAUAGCAGUUCCGGGCGCCCGGACCCGCCAACAGGCCGGCCGCUCUCCGCUUGAGGCCCGGAACCCCGGCCCUCACCCGGCAUGUUCCGGGCAGCUCACCCGAGUCCUUAGAUUGCUAUGGGAUUGGUAGGAUCCUGAGCGUCGGAGAAGCAGGAA